GACGAACGCUGGCGGCGUGCUUAACACAUGCAAGUCGAACGGAAAGGCCCUGCUUUUGUGGGGUGCUCGAGUGGCGAACGGGUGUGUAACACGUGAGUAACCUGCCCUUGACUUUGGGAUAACUUCAGGAAACUGGGGCUAAUACCGGAGAGGAGCUCCUGCUGCAUGGUGGGGGUUGGAAAGUUUCGGCGGUUGGGGAUGGACUCGCGGCUUAUCAGCUUGUUGGUGGGGUAGUGGCUUACCAAGGCUUUGACGGGUAGCCGGCCUGAGAGGGUGACCGGCCACAUUGGGACUGAGAUACGGCCCAGACUCCUACGGGAGGCAGCGGUGGGGAAUAUUGCACAAUGGGCGGAAGCCUGAUGCGGCAACGCCGCGUGCGGGAUGACGGCCUUCGGGUUGUAAACCGCUUUCGCCUGUGACGAAGCGUGAGUGACGGUAAUGGGUAAAGAAGCACCGGCUAACUACGUG
rnacentral:rRNA from 1 species